rnacentral:rRNA from 1 species
UUCGGGGUACUCGAGUGGCGAACGGGUGAGUAACACGUGGGUGAUCUGCCCUGCACUUUGGGAUAAGCCUGGGAAACUGGGUCUAAUACCGAAUAGGACCACGCGCUUCAUGGUGUGUGGUGGAAAGCUUUUGCGGUGUGGGAUGGGCCCGCGGCCUAUCAGCUUGUUGGUGGGGUAAUGGCCUACCAAGGCGACGACGGGUAGCCGGCCUGAGAGGGUGACCGGCCACACUGGGACUGAGAUACGGCCCAGACUCCUACGGGAGGCAGCAGUGGGGAAUAUUGCACAAUGGGCGCAAGCCUGAUGCAGCGACGCCGCGUGAGGGAUGACGGCCUUCGGGUUGUAAACCUCUUUCAAUAGGGACGAAGCGCAAGUGACGGUACCUAUAGAAGAAGCACCGGCCAACUACGUGCCAGCAGCCGCGGUAAUACGUAGGGUGCGAGCGUUGUCCGGAAUUACUGGGCGUAAAGAGCUCGUAGGUGGUUUGUCGCGUUGUUCGUGAAAACUCACAGCUUAACUGUGGGCGUGCGGGCGAUACGGGCAGACUAGAGUACUGCAGGGGAGACUGGAAUUCCUGGUGUAGCGGUGGAAUGCGCAGAUAUCAGGAGGAACACCGGUGGCGAAGGCGGGUCUCUGGGCAGUAACUGACGCUGAGGAGCGAAAGCGUGGGGAGCGAACAGGAUUAGAUACCCUGGUAGUCCACGCCGUAAACGGUGGGUACUAGGUGUGGGUUCCUUCCUUGGGAUCCGUGCCGUAGCUAACGCAUUAAGUACCCCGCCUGGGGAGUACGGCCGCAAGGCUAAAACUCAAAGGAAUUGACGGGGGCCCGCACAAGCGGCGGAGCAUGUGGAUUAAUUCGAUGCAACGCGAAGAACCUUACCUGGGUUUGACAUGCACAGGACGCCGGCAGAGAUGUCGGUUCCCUUGUGGCCUGUGUGCAGGUGGUGCAUGGCUGUCGUCAGCUCGUGUCGUGAGAUGUUGGGUUAAGUCCCGCAACGAGCGCAACCCUUGUCCUAUGUUGCCAGCGGGUUAUGCCGGGGACUCGUAGGAGACUGCCGGGGUCAACUCGGAGGAAGGUGGGGAUGACGUCAAGUCAUCAUGCCCCUUAUGUCCAGGGCUUCACACAUGCUACAAUGGCCGGUACAAAGGGCUGCGAUGCCGUGAGGUGGAGCGAAUCCUUUCAAAGCCGGUCUCAGUUCGGAUCGGGGUCUGCAACUCGACCCCGUGAAGUCGGAGUCGCUAGUAAUCGCAGAUCAGCAACGCUGCGGUGAAUACGUUCCCGGGCCUUGUACACACCGCCCGUCACGUCAUGAAAGUCGGUAACACCCGAAGCC